GACGAACGCUGGCGGCGUGCUUAACACAUGCAAGUCGAGCGGUAAGGCCCUUUCGGGGGUACGACGAGCGGCGAACGGGUGAGUAACGCGUGGGUGACCUGCCCUUAGCUCUGGGAUAAGCCUGGGAAACGUGGGUCUAAUACCGGAUAUGACUCCAUGACGCAUGUUGUGGGGUGGAAAGCCUUGUGCGGCUAGGGAUGGGCCUGCGGCCUAUCAGCUUGUUGGUGGGGUGAUGGCCUACCAAGGCGACGACGGGUAGCCGGCCUGAGAGGGCGACCGGCCACACUGGGACUGAGACACGGCCCAGACUCCUACGGGAGGCAGCAGUGGGGAAUCUUGCGCAAUGGGCGAAAGCCUGACGCAGCGACGCCGCGUGGGGAUGACGGCCUCGG
rnacentral:rRNA from 1 species